AUUGAACGCUGGCGGCAGGCCUAACACAUGCAAGUCGAGCGGAUGAAGGGAGCUUGCUCCUGGAUUCAGCGGCGGACGGGUGAGUAAUGCCUAGGAAUCUGCCUGGUAGUGGGGGAUAACGUCCGGAAACGGGCGCUAAUACCGCAUACGUCCUGAGGGAGAAAGUGGGGGAUCUUCGGACCUCACGCUAUCAGAUGAGCCUAGGUCGGAUUAGCUAGUUGGUGGGGUAAAGGCCUACCAAGGCGACGAUCCGUAACUGGUCUGAGAGGAUGAUCAGUCACACUGGAACUGAGACACGGUCCAGACUCCUACGGGAGGCAGCAGUGGGGAAUAUUGGGCAAUGGGCGAAAGCCUGAUCCAGCCAUGCCGCGUGUGUGAAGAAGGUCUUCGGAUUGUAAAGCACUUUAAGUUGGGAGGAAGGGCAGUAAGUUAAUACCUUGCUGUUUUGAUGUUACCAACAGAAUAAGCACCGGCUAACUUCGUG
rnacentral:rRNA from 1 species